rnacentral:rRNA from 1 species
CCCUAUGGGGUGCAGCAGGCGCGAAACCUCCUCAAUGCACUUACGUGCGAAGGGGCUACCUCGAGUGCCACCUGAUGAAGGUGGCUUUUCCUAGGUCUAAAAAGCCUUGGGAAUAAGAGGGGGGCAAGACUGGUGUCAGCCGCCGCGGUAACACCAGCCCCUCGAGUGGUGGGGAUGAUUAUUGGGCCUAAAGCGUCCGUAGCCUGCCGUGUAAGUUUCCCGUUAAAUCCAGCGUCUCAAGCGUUGGACCGCGGGAAAUACUGUACGGCUAGAGAGUGGGAGAGGUCAGCGGUAUUCUGGGGGUAGGGGCGAAAUCCUUUGAUCCCCGGAGGACCACCAGUGGCGAAGGCUGCUGACUAGAACACGUCUGACGGUCAGGAACGAAAGCUGGGGUAGCGAACCGGAUUAGAUACCCGGGUAGUCCCAGCCGUAAACGAUGCAUGCUAGGUGUUGGGUUGGCCACGAGCCACCCCAGUGCCGCAGGGAAGCCGUUAAGCAUGCCGCCUGGGAAGUACGAUCGCAAGGUUGAAACUUAAAGGAAUUGGCGGGGGAGCACCACCAGGCGUGAAGCCUGCGGUUUAAUUGGAGUCAACGCCGGGAACCUUACCGGGAGCGACAGCAGAGUGAAGGUCAGAUUGAAGAUCUUACCAGACGAGCUGAGAGGAGGUGCAUGGCCAA